rnacentral:rRNA from 1 species
GGCGGACGGGUGAGUAACACGUGGGAACGUGCCUUUUGGUUCGGAACAACUCAGGGAAACUUGAGCUAAUACCGGAUAAGCCUUUCGAGGGAAAGAUUUAUCGCCAUUAGAGCGGCCCGCGUAGGAUUAGCUAGUUGGUGGGGUAAAGGCCCACCAAGGCUACGAUCCUUAGCUGGUCUGAGAGGAUGAUCAGCCACAUUGGGACUGAGACACGGCCCAAACUCCUACGGGAGGCAGCAGUGGGGAAUCUUGCGCAAUGGGCGAAAGCCUGACGCAGCCAUGCCGCGUGAAUGAUGAAGGUCUUAGGAUUGUAAAAUUCUUUCACCGGGGACGAUAAUGACGGUACCCGGAGAAGAAGCCCCGGCUAACUUCGUGCCAGCAGCCGCGGUAAUACGAAGGGGGCUAGCGUUGCUCGGAAUUACUGGGCGUAAAGGGAGCGUAGGCGGAUAGUUUAGUCAGAGGUGAAAGCCCAGGGCUCAACCUUGGAAUUGCCUUUGAUACUGGCUAUCUUGAGUACGGAAGAGGUAUGUGGAACUCCGAGUGUAGAGGUGAAAUUCGUAGAUAUUCGGAAGAACACCAGUGGCGAAGGCGACAUACUGGUCCGUUACUGACGCUGAGGCUCGAAAGCGUGGGGAGCAAACAGGAUUAGAUACCCUGGUAGUCCACGCUGUAAACGAUGAGUGCUAGUUGUCGGCAUGCAUGCAUGUCGGUGACGCAGCU